rnacentral:rRNA from 1 species
UACGUCGGGGGCAAGCGUUGUCCGGAUUUAUUGGGCGUAAAGAGCGUGUAGGCGGUUUGGUAGGUCCGUUGUGAAAACUCGAGGCUCAACCUCGAGACGCCGGCGGAAACCAUCAGGCUAGAGUCCGGAAGAGGAGAGUGGAAUUCCUGGUGUAGCGGUGAAAUGCGCAGAUAUCAGGAAGAACACCCGUGGCUAAGGCGGCUCUCUAGUACGGUACUGACGCUGAGACGCGAAAGCGUGGGGAGCGAACAGG